UAUUUGACUUUUAUUAGUACGGUAAGGAGGUCAUUUAGUGGCAGUAUCACCAUUACGUAGUGUAGAAGAAAAUGAAUUACCAACACCCAACAUUACUAACAUUGUUAGUCUCAUCUUAUCUUAAUAUUCUCUUCUGUUCUGUAUGGCAUUAAGGUCCCUAUCCUGCACCUGGUGCAGCGCAAAGCCCGACGCAAGUGUCUUUGCUAGUUUAAGACCGACACAGUUGUCAAAUGACCGCCCAGCACCCGCGUCGUUGAAAUAGCAAAUGCACCUGCGCCCAUCAGUGGCCCAUGGGCGUGCUGGUCUUACAGGGAGGUGUGUUCAGGUGCAUUCUGGGCGU